AGCGCAGGCGGGAAGACAAGUUGGAAGUGAAAACCAUGGGCUCAACCCAUGAAUUGCUUUCAAAACUGUUUUUCUUGAGUAGUGCAGAGGUAGAUGGAAUUCCCGGUGUAGCGGUGGAAUGCGUAGAUAUCGGGAGGAACACCAGUGGCGAAGGCGGUCUACUGGGCACCAACUGACGCUGAGGCUCGAAAGCAUGGGUGCAAACA
rnacentral:rRNA from 1 species